rnacentral:rRNA from 1 species
UACGUAGGGGGCAAGCGUUAUCCGGAUUUACUGGGUGUAAAGGGGGCGCAGACGGCGAUGCAAGCCAGGAGUGAAAGCCCGGGGCCCAACCCCGGGACUGCUCUUGGAACUGCGUGGCUGGAGUGCAGGAGGGGCAGGCGGAAUUCCUGGUGUAGCGGUGAAAUGCGUAGAUAUCUGGAGGAACACCGGUGGCGAAGGCGGCCUGCUGGACUGCAACUGACGUUGAGGCCCGAAAGCGUGGGGAGCAAACAGG